rnacentral:rRNA from 1 species
CACGUAGGGACCAAGCGUUGUCCGGAUUUAUUGGGCGUAAAGAGCUCGUAGGCGGUUCGGUAAGUCGGGUGUGAAAACUCUGGGCUCAACUCAGAGACGCCACCCGAUACUGCUGUGACUUGAGUCCGGUAGGGGAGCGGGGAAUUCCUGGUGUAGCGGUGAAAUGCGCAGAUAUCAGGAGGAACACCGGUGGCGAAGGCGCCGCUCUGGGCCGGAACUGACGCUGAGGAGCGAAAGCGUGGGUAGCAAACAGG